UACGUAGGGUGCGAGCGUUAAUCGGAAUUACUGGGCGUAAAGCGUGCGCAGGCGGUUUUAUAAGCCAGAUGUGAAAGCCCCGGGCUCAACCUGGGAAUGGCAUUUGGGACUGUAAGGCUGGAGUAUGGCAGAGGAGACUAGAAUUCCUGGUGUAGCGGUGGAAUGCGCAGAUAUCAGGAGGAACACCAAUAGCGAAGGCAGCUCGCUGGGACGUUACUGACACUGAGGCGCGAAAGCGUGGGGAGCGAACAGG
rnacentral:rRNA from 1 species